AGAAAGGAAAGGAAAAAGGAAUUUUAUACCGGUGAUCUGUCUCUUGACAUUAAAUCUCAUGCUUUCUCUUCCUCUUUCUUUCUUUUCUUUUACAAAGAAAGAGGGAAAGCAUGAGAUGUC
rnacentral:ribozyme from 11 species